UACGUAGGGACCGAGCGUUGUCCGGAUUCAUUGGGCGUAAAGAGCUCGUAGGCGGCCACUCAAGUCGAAUGUGAAACCUCGAGGCUUAACCUCGAGCCUGCAUUCGAUACUGGGCGGCUAGAGUCUGGUAGGGGGAUCUGGAAUUCCUGGUGUAGCGGUGGAAUGCGCAGAUAUCAGGAGGAACACCGGUGGCGAAGGCGGGAUCCUGGGCCAGUACUGACGCUGAGGAGCGAAAUCGUGGGGAGCAAACAGG
rnacentral:rRNA from 1 species